CACUGUUAAAGUAUUUAGGAGGAGGCACUGACUCAGCCCAGGGGCAAUCCACCUCCUCAGGAGCAGCCAAGGCUGAUGAAUCAGGUCCAUCUCUAUCCUCUGCUCCAUCCACUGUGCCCACUGUCCUCUCUGCAACCUCAGCUGUACCUGGUCCUUCAUCUUUGGUCAUCAAGAUUGAUGUGUCUUCUUCAGCAUCCAGUUUGGAGCAGGGUUCAGCAGCUCCGCCAGUUGACCCAGCUGAGUGUCCCUCUUUCCUGUCAGACUCAGAAAGGACUGAACAGGUAUUAAGAGGGCCACUGCCUAUAAAGGACACAUUCACAUUCCCAAAAAGACACGUGGCAGUAAUAGAGGGCCCCAAAAUCAAAUUUUGCUUAGGGCCCCAUGGAGGCUUGGGCCG